GGAAUUGACGGGGGCCCGCAAAGCGGUGGUGUUGUGGUUUAAUGAUGCAACGCGAAGAACCUUACCAAGUGACAUGUCGCCCUUCUGAAAGGAGUGCCUUAGGGAGCGCGAACACAGGUGGUGCAUGGCUGUGUCAGCUCGUGGAGAUGUUGGGUUAAGUCCCGCAACGAGCGCAACCCUCGUUUUUAGUUGCCAGCAUUAAGUUGGGCACUCUAGAGAGACUGCCGGUGACAAACCGGAGGAAGGUGGGGAUGACGUCAAGUCAGCAUGCCCCUUACGUCUUGGGCUAACAAUGCUACGGACAAAGGGCAGCUACACAGCGAUGUGAUGCAAAUCUCAGAAACGCUCAGUUCAGAUCGAAGGCUGCAACUCGCCUUCGUGAAGGAGGAAUCGCUAGUAAUUGCAGGUCAGCAUACUGCAGUGAAUUCGUUCCCGGGCCUGUACACACCGCCCGUCACACCACGGAAGCUGGUCACGC
rnacentral:rRNA from 1 species